rnacentral:misc_RNA from 1 species
GAUUUUUAAAAAUCCAAAC